GACGAACGCUGGCGGCGUGCUUAACACAUGCAAGUCGAACGGAGUUACGUAUGAAGUAUUUCGGUACGGACUAUGUAACUUAGUGGCGAACGGGUGAGUAACACGUGGGCAACCUGCCCUUAACCGGGGGAUAACAUUGUGAAAACAGUGCUAAUACCGCAUAACAGAGUAUCGGGCAUCCGAUAUUUUUAAAAGGAGCAAUCCGGUUUAGGAUGGGCCCGCGUCCAAUUAGCUAGUUGGUGAGGUAACGGCUCACCAAGGCUACGAUUGGUAGCCGAACUGAGAGGUUGAUCGGCCACAUUGGGACUGAGACACGGCCCAGACUCCUACGGGAGGCAGCAGUGGGGAAUAUUGGGCAAUGGGCGAAAGCCUGACCCAGCGACGCCGCGUGAAGGAUGAAGGUCUUCGGAUUGUAAACUUCUUUGAUCAGGAAGAAAGAAAUGACGGUACCUGAAGAACAAGCCACGGCUAACUACGUGCCAGCAGCCGCGGUAAAAGUCAACGUCG
rnacentral:rRNA from 1 species